rnacentral:lncRNA from 1 species
GUUUUAAAAAAAUACCUACCUGCAUUCCAAUCUGUUGUUACCAGCACGGGAGUCUCUCACAGUAAGGGUUUUUGCUGACUGGUGGCUGGCACAAAGGAGUGAAGAUGGGCAGGAAGGGAAGAAUGAGAGAGUCUACUGGAAGGAGUCUCCUAUCUCAUCUAACGAAGAAGCCCUGAAAGCCCUCACCAGGACGCAUCCCUGAAACAUCACACUUGCGGCUCCUGAUGCACUGAACUCGCUUCCCUGGAUAUACACGUCGUUCUGGCUCCUGCACUCCUUCUUGAGUCUAUCCAGAGGGAUGCCUGCUUAGACCAUGAUCAUCCUGGCUCCUGUCCGACAAGAAGAAUAUGCUUUAAUGGAGGUCCAAGUUCAAUGCUUUCACCAAUGAACCUACGAUGUUUGGCACCCAGUAAUGCAGAUGACGCUGAUCCUACUGGAGAAACGUUUGGUCCCAUCCAGGGUAGGUGUUGGUAGAGGUGAGGAGAUCCUAGCAAAGCUUCAGAUCUUUCACAUCUGAGCAUAAUGAACAAUGCUGAGUCCAAGUUACACUGCCAUGGACGUCAUCCUGAUGCUGCCCCCUCAGGGAGUGUCAACAGCUCAUAGCCUAAGACUCAAACAGGAAAGGCAAAGAAAGCAGUUAAUAAGUACGUCGAGUGUACAGCAUCUGAUUAUUUUCUCCAAAUAACCUCACAUUUGCAGUAGAAAAAAUAAUCACUGUUACUUCUAAUAAAGGUCUCACCAUAUUAUUUUAAUCAUCAACACUUGAACACAAUUAUAAUUGCAUUGAAAAGUGAUACCUAUUUUGUUAUGGCAUUAGAAUUCAUGUAAGGGGCAG